UGGAAGGAGGAUCUACUCAAAUAAUUGUUGCAGACACUCCAGAGGGGCAAGGGCUCCGAAUCCCUGUGGAAAAUUUCAUGUAGAUGUGUUUGGACGGGGCUCCGAACACUUUCAGAGGUUUCUGAGCGGCCUUCAAAGAGAGAGGGAGAGCUGGUUCACUCUUGCCGGCCCGAUUCGGUGUCACAAAGAACCUUUUCAGAAAGAAAUAAACUCCCAUUGAGGCAGGUUCGGCUCCCAGAUCCGAAUGAGAACAUGGCCGGAAAAUGGCGAGACUCCCACCGCCCACUCCAGUGGAAUCAUGUUCCUUGCUGGGAUCCUCUUCUCAUCAGAAUUUAGGGUACAGUCCUGAAUCAUCAUUGCUACUCCAUCAUAUUAACAUAAUUUUGAAGAUAUAUUUUGAGACUCCACUGGGGAUGCACUUGAGUCUGAAGCUGAGGCAGAUACACGAACUGAUCUUCUUGUACAAGAUGGGAUGAGAAGGGAAAGAUGAGGGGAAAGAACUUACGAUUGAUCAUCUCCUCAAAUUGGACAUCACGUGGUCAGUGGCCAUGGCUUGUGUGUGGAGCUGGUGCAGAACCACUGAGGCUGCAAAGAGAAAACAUCAAAAAACAAUCUUUCUCUCAGACUCUGUCCCAUGUGGAGGUACAGAAAGUCUCCAUCAAAAGCUACUUGUCUUCGAUUAAUUUUUUUUCUGCAGAUGCCCUACUGAAGAAGGAAUAAAGUGCCUUUAAAGAAAGAAUGAAUUCUCAACCAAUGAAUGAAAGAGAGCAUUGCUGUGCAAAUAAUCUUGCGUCAACAACAAAGUACUAAAAGGAAUCGGAAGAAACCUUGAGAACAACUAAUCAAUUCGUAUGGUCCAGAUUGGUGCUCUGGAACUGUGCUUUCCUGAUUUUAUAUUCUCUUUUUCACUCAUAGUAUCCAUGUCUUCUCUGUCUGUUUGUUAAGGGGGAAUCUUAACAGUGCAGAAUUAAAUUGCUCAAAGUUAUAAGUUAGCAAGUUAUUCUUCCUAAUUGCCAUUGGUUAAAGAUAAAUAAAGACACUAUUUUCUUGUUAAGUACAGAAACUUGCUGAGUGUUGUCUUCUAAGUUGAGCUCACUGCUCAGGUAAACUAGGGAGUUUGGAUGAGUUGAAUAAAUCUUUCCACCUUUAUCAGGACUCUGGGAACAGUGAGGUUUGAUUUCCAGUACACUACCCUAGUGACUUUGUGACACAUUUGACAAAUUUAUUAGAAUUCUUUGAAAUGCAACCAACAUGGUAGAUAAAGGGAAACCAGUACAUAUAGUUUCUUUGUAUUUCAAAAAGACAUAUGGUAAGGUUCCACAUAAAACAAUACUGCAUGAGUUACAAAUUGAUGCUACUGGAAUGAUGCAUCAGCAUGGGAAGGGAAUAGCUAACUAACAAGAAACAAAGAAUUGGAAUAAAUGGGUCACAUUCAGGUUGGCAAUCUGUAACUAGUGGAUGCUGGAGUGCUUGGAUGCUGAAAUAUCAACUAUUUAUUCCAUAUAUUUAAUGACUUGUGAUGAUGGGACAGGUGCUAUUGCAACCACACUUACCAAUGAUGCAAAACUAGGUUGGAAAGAAAGUUCUGAGGAAGAUUCAAAGACUUUGUAAAAAGAUGGAGAUAGAUUGACUGAUUUAGAAAAUAAUUAGCAGAUAGAACAUAAUGUGGAAAAAAUUGAACUUGUCCACUUUGGAAGGAAGAAUAGAAAUGUAGAACGUUGCUUA